UACGUGGGGUGCAAGCGUUGUCCGGAAUUAUUGGGCGUAAAGAGCUCGUAGGCGGUUUGUCGCGUCUGCUGUGAAAACCCGAGGCUCAACCUCGGGCCUGCAGUGGGUACGGGCAGACUAGAGUGCGGUAGGGGAGAUUGGAAUUCCUGGUGUAGCGGUGGAAUGCGCAGAUAUCAGGAGGAACACCAAUGGCGAAGGCAGAUCUCUGGGCCGUAACUGACGCUGAGGAGCGAAAGCAUGGGGAGCGAACAGG
rnacentral:rRNA from 1 species